rnacentral:snRNA from 1 species
UUAAUCAUCCGAAAACCAAA